UAGCAUGAUGGGGACACUUCCUUAACAGUCACUUGAAACACUCCCAAUCAUCAUAUAAUGAUUCACUAUCACUUUGUGCAAAAUUAUUAAUCUCCCCUCUUAACCG